rnacentral:lncRNA from 1 species
AAAACAGAAAAGGGAGCGGAAGAAGACUGUGUCGUUCAGCAGCAUGCCCACUGAGAAGAAGAUCAGCAGUGCGAGUGAUUGCAUCAAUUCCAUGGUCGAAGGUUCAGAACUCAAAAAGGUCCGCUCCAACUCUAGAAUUUACCAUAGGUAUUUUUUACUAGAUGCUGACAUGCAGAGCUUGAGGUGGGAGCCAUCGAAGAAGGAUUCUGAGAAAGCCAAGAUUGAUAUUAAAUCCAUCAAGGAAGUGAGAACAGGAAAAAAUACAGACAUAUUCCGUAGCAAUGGCAUUUCUGACCAGAUAUCUGAAGAUUGUGCAUUUUCAGUCAUAUAUGGAGAGAAUUAUGAGUCACUUGAUUUGGUUGCCAACUCUGCAGAUGUUGCAAACAUCUGGGUCACGGGACUGCGGUACCUAAUUUCUUAUGGCAAACAUACCCUCGAUAUGUUGGAAAGUAGCCAAGACAACAUGAGGACUUCUUGGGUUUCACAAAUGUUUAGUGAAAUUGAUGUAGACAACCUUGGACAUAUAACUCUGUGUAAUGCUGUGCAAUGUAUCAGAAACCUCAAUCCUGGUUUAAAAACGAGCAAAAUUGAGCUCAAGUUCAAAGAGUUGCACAAAUCAAAGGACAAAGGUGGCACAGAAGUCACAAAGGAAGAAUUUAUUGAGGUUUUUCAUGAGCUUUGUACUAGACCUGAAAUUUAUUUCCUUUUAGUUCAGUUUUCAAGCAAUAAAGAAUUCCUUGAUACCAAGGACCUUAUGAUGUUUCUUGAAGCAGAACAGGGUGUGGCACAUAUAAAUGAGGAAAUAAGCCUUGAAAUUAUUCACAAAUAUGAGCCAUCCAAAGAGGGCCAGGACAAGGGCUGGCUGUCUAUAGACGGGUUCACUAAUUACCUUAUGUCACCUGACUGUUAUAUUUUUGAUCCAGAACAUAAGAAGGUCUGUCAGGAUAUGAAGCAACCUCUGUCUCAUUACUUUAUAAACUCAUCUCAUAAUACAUAUUUAAUAGAGGAUCAGUUCCGAGGUCCCUCUGACAUCACAGGAUAUAUUCGGGCUCUUAAAAUGGGUUGCCGGAGUGUCGAAUUAGAUGUAUGGGAUGGGCCAGAUAAUGAACCCGUAAUUUACACCGGCCACACUAUGACCUCUCAGAUAGUCUUCCGCAGUGUCAUUGAUAUUAUUAACAAGUAUGCAUUCUUUGCUUCAGAGUAUCCUCUUAUCUUGUGUUUAGAAAAUCACUGUUCUAUUAAACAACAGAAAGUAAUGGUUCAACACAUGAAGAAAAUUUUGGGAGACAAGCUCUAUACCACUUCACCCAAUGUCGAGGAAUCUUACCUACCAUCCCCAGAUGUUCUGAAAGGGAAGAUACUAAUCAAAGCCAAGAAGCUGUCCUCAAAUUGCUCUGGAGUAGAAGGAGACGUUACUGAUGAAGAUGAAGGAGCAGAAAUGUCUCAGAGGAUAGGGAAGGAGAACGUGGAGCAACCCAGCAAUGUGCCUGUGAAGCGAUUUCAGCUUUGCAAAGAGCUGUCUGAACUGGUCAGCAUCUGUAAGUCAGUUCAGUUCAAGGAAUUUCAGGUGUCAUUUCAGGUUCAGAAGUACUGGGAAGUCUGUUCCUUUAAUGAAGUGCUUGCCAGCAAAUAUGCCAAUGAAAAUCCAGGGGACUUCGUAAAUUAUAACAAGCGUUUUCUUGCUAGGGUCUUUCCUAGUCCAAUGAGAAUCGACUCCAGUAACAUGAACCCUCAAGAUUUUUGGAAAUGUGGUUGUCAAAUCGUAGCCAUGAACUUUCAGACUCCAGGGCUGAUGAUGGACUUGAAUAUUGGCUGGUUCAGGCAGAAUGGAAACUGUGGCUAUGUCCUUCGGCCGGCCAUCAUGCGGGAGGAGGUUUCCUUCUUCAGUGCCAACACGAAAGACUCUGUCCCGGGAGUCUCCCCUCAACUUCUUCACAUUAAAAUCAUCAGUGGGCAGAACUUUCCAAAGCCCAAAGGAUCAGGUGCCAAAGGUGAUGUGGUGGACCCUUAUGUCUAUGUGGAAAUCCAUGGGAUCCCUGCCGACUGUGCAGAACAAAGGACAAAAACAGUGCACCAGAAUGGAGAUGCACCCAUUUUUGAUGAGAGCUUUGAAUUUCAAAUCAACCUGCCUGAGCUGGCCAUGGUGCGCUUCGUAGUGCUAGACGAUGACUACAUUGGGGAUGAAUUUAUUGGUCAGUACACAAUUCCCUUUGAAUGUUUACAGACGGGCUACCGCCAUGUCCCCCUGCAGUCCUUGACUGGAGAGGUUCUUGCUCAUGCUUCUUUGUUUGUGCACGUGGCCAUCACUAACCGAAGAGGAGGAGGGAAGCCUCAUAAAAGGGGCCUUUCCGUGAGAAAAGGGAAGAAAUCCAGGGAAUAUGCAUCUCUGAGAACGUUGUGGAUUAAAACUGUGGAUGAGGUGUUCAAGAAUGCCCAGCCCCCCAUUCGGGAUGCCACGGAUCUGAGAGAGAACAUGCAGGUACGUGCUCAU